rnacentral:rRNA from 1 species
AAAAAAGGUAAGCUACUAAGAGCGAAUGGUGGAUGCCUUGACUGGUAAAGGCGAUGAAGGACGUACUAGACUGCGAUAAGCUACGGGGAGCUGUCAAGAAGCUUUGAUCCGUAGAUUUCCGAAUGGGGCAACCCAAUGUAUAGAGAUAUACAUUACCUAUAUAGGAGCGAACGAGGGGAAUUGAAACAUCUUAGUACCCUCAGGAAAAGAAAUCAAUAGAGAUUGCGUCAGUAGCGGCGAGCGAAAGCGCAAGAGGGCAAACCCAGUGCUUGCACUGGGGGUUGUAGGACUGCAAUGUGCAAGAGCUGAGUUUAGCAGAACAUUCUGGAAAGUAUAGCCAUAGAGGGUGAUAGUCCCGUAUGCGAAAAACAAAGCUUAGCUAGCAGUAUCCUGAGUAGGGCGGGACACGAGGAAUCCUGUCUGAAUCCGGGUCGACCACGAUCCAACCCUAAAUACUAAUACCAGAUCGAUAGUGCACAAGUACCGUGAGGGAAAGGUGAAAAGAACUGAGGUGAUCAGAGUGAAAUAGAACCUGAAACCAUUUGCUUACAAUCAUUCAGAGCACUAUGUAGCAAUACAGUGUGAUGGACUGCCUUUUGCAUAAUGAGCCUGCGAGUUGUGGUGUCUGGCAAGGUUAAGCAAACGCGAAGCCGUAGCGAAAGCGAGUCUGAAUAGGGCGCUUAGUCAGAUGCUGCAGACCCGAAACGAAGUGAUCUAUCCAUGAGCAAGUUGAAGCUAGUGUAAGAACUAGUGGAGGACUGAACCCAUAGGCGUUGAAAAGCCCCGGGAUGACUUGUGGAUAGGGGUGAAAGGCCAAUCAAACUUCGUGAUAGCUGGUUCUCUCCGAAAUAUAUUUAGGUAUAGCGUUGUGUCGUAAUAUAAGGGGGUAGAGCACUGAAUGGGCUAGGGCAUACACCAAUGUACCAAACCCUAUCAAACUCCGAAUACCUUAUAUGUAAUCACAGCAGUCAGGCGGCGAGUGAUAAAAUCCGUCGUCAAGAGGGAAACAACCCAGACUACCAGCUAAGGUCCCUAAAUCUUACUUAAGUGGAAAACGAUGUGAAGUUACUUAAACAACCAGGAGGUUGGCUUAGAAGCAGCCAUCCUUUAAAGAAAGCGUAAUAGCUCACUGGUCUAGUGAUUUUGCGCGGAAAAUA